rnacentral:rRNA from 1 species
UACGUAGGGUGCAAGCGUUGUCCGGAAUUAUUGGGCGUAAAGAGCUCGUAGGCGGUUUGUCGCGUCUGCUGUGAAAACGCGAGGCUCAACCUCGCGCCUGCAGUGGAUACGGGCAGGCGUAGAGGUAGGUAGGGGAGAAUGGAAUUCCCGGUGUAGCGGUGAAAUGCGCAGAUAUCGGGAGGAACACCGGUGGCGAAGGCGGCGACCUGGUCCGACACUGACGCUGAGGCGCGAAAGCGUGGGGAGCGAACAGG